CAACCCUCCUUCAGUUGACACCUUGUGUCCCCGAGAGCACUCCAGGCUAACUCAGUGGGUCUGAGCUUUGAAAGACAAUCAUUUCUGGAGGUCCUAUGCUGGUAUUACUGGGCUGUUCCUUGGCACCUUGUCUUAAAUGUCAUAUAUAAACUAUGCAAUCUGUCAAAACAGUUUCAUGGAUGUAUUUGCACUGUUGUAAAACAAGCAGGCAUUCCAUGCCUGAGCUUCUAUUUCCGUUAAGUGACGAAGGUUUAAUUACUUACGUUCAGGGCUGGGGACACUAUGGGUAGAGUGCCUUCUGGCCUUGAUUUCUAUUCCCAACAGCAAACAGCCAUAAAUACAAGUUCUUAAACCUAUUGUGUGGAACGUUCUGCUGCCCCAUUCCUUUCUUGGGAGGUAAGGGAAGUUUGAUCAAAGCCUACCUUGGUUACGUUGGUACCCUGUAAAGUAUGUCAAACUUGUCUUCAACAAACGCAUUCACUACACAUGGCUCCUCUUCCAGCCUUUCUGUUGUCUUUCUGACAGAUUCUCUGGACCUUCUCCAUUUAUCUGGAGUCAGUGGCUAUCCUGCCACAGCUCUUCAUGAUCAGCAAGACUGGAGAGGCUGAGACCAUCACCACUCACUACCUGUUCUUUCUGGGGCUCUAUCGGCUACUCUAUCUGGCCAACUGGAUCAGGCGGUACCAGACAGAGAACUUCUAUGACCAGAUCUCAGUGGUGUCUGGAGUUGUACAAACCAUCUUUUACUGUGACUUCUUCUACUUGUAUGUGACCAAAGUCCUUAAAGGAAAGAAAUUAAGCCUACCAAUGCCAGUUUGAAGAGAUAAGCCAUCCCUAAGGCAGCUAGAGCAACCCAUCUGGAUCACUCCUUGGUGACUUUGAGCCAAGACUCGGGACUUCCUGUUAA
rnacentral:lncRNA from 1 species